AUAUAGAGAUACUUUUUUAACAGACCCAUCCAUCCAACUACAAAAAUGUUUUAUUAGCAACAGUAAUUUCUUUCAGUACAAAUAGGAGAAGUGAUAGAUUAGUAUGAUAAAUUCAAACAUCAUAUACUUCCUUGUACCAUGCUUUUUGAAGGGAAAUACAGGAACCCUGUCUAUUCAACAGACACAGUAAGUGUAGCAUGUUAAUAUAGAGGUUAAGUAAGGCUGUUCAUUGUUGGGUGUAGUCGUGUGGGAGCUCUAACUGAAUCUAUAACAGACUUACUGCUACCCAUGCACUGAACAUACUCCCUCUGCACUAACUUUGACUCAUUCACUAAGAUGUCCUACGUGUCUGCACUCCAUACACUGUUGAAAUGCUGGACCAAUGUGAACCAACAUGACCAGAGGAAAAAAUACAAGUAAUCCACGUUCUGUUCAAAGCUCUGAAGAAAAAAGAUUUCUAUCGAGUGCGAGGACAAUGUCGAUGGAUGUCAUGGUGUUAUUGUCUAUGAUGAUGAAACAUUCCCAAUUUCUAUCCAGCGGAUGACUGCCUACAGUGAUGGACAAGGCCUGCAGAGGUCUGUGAGAGUUUUCCAAUGGCCCCUUUACAUUGGCGAGGACAUUGCAGUGUUGCAGGGUUCUCCAGAGAAUGUCAGGGAUUCAAACACCAGUCUUGAGGAGGAGGUUGAUGAAGAUGAAUAACUCCAAACAACCAGGCAUCAACAUCUUACCUUUGAAAUGCCUGAUAAGCUUGAAUCCUGAAUACUACAAAUUCAUUUCACAUUUUUUCACAUGUUUUUUUUAAUGCAAUGGACACUAAAAUGAAUGACAAACUUUUUGGUGGUUAUUUACUCAUUCACACAUGUGAUCAGAAUAAUGGGAGACCCUACACAAUCUGAGCAUUGUAACUAUUUGACUAUUUGGGGUGGAAUAGAGGCAGUAUAAAAGAGGGGACUUAACUUGUUAUGACUCACAAUGACUCACAUUAGACUUUAAUAUAAUUAAUAUGUACAGAUGCCUCAUAUAUUUGUGUCAUUGUUUUCAAAUUUGAGACAGCUAUUCUUGUGUCUAUUGUCUGUAAUCCCUACUAACUCCUUCACCAAGCUUGUCUCCUAGAAAUGACCUACAACUAAACUGCAACAGCACAUACGUAUUGAAGGUGAUAUUCUGCUUUUAAUCCAUAAUUAACUAUUGCUGUAAUAAGAAUAUGUUGCUUAAAUAAGUCGCAAAUAUGUUGAUACUGAACAAAUCAGUAAAAUUAUCACAGACAAUGUAUUCAUUUUUGCCAGAAUAUCAAAUCUUGUUGUGUAUCCACUUAAGUAAUCACUACAGCAUUAUUUAACUUUUUUUUAGACAUUUCGUUAAGGUUACAGAAAGAUUGUGGUAAUACAGAAAAAGUGAACAGUAAAUUCAGACAUAAUGUGUUAAUGUAACAAAAAACAUGAUCUUUCCCUAACCUUGAACAAAAUUCUUUUAUAGUCUUAACUGAGCUACAGGAGGGACUCUGGAUGCAAGUCCCUGUCUCUGAUGGGACAAUUCUGCACUUUUUACACCCAGCAUCCACCCAAACCACCUCCUUGUGAAUUCACUACUGCUACUUACAAACAUAGAGCUUAAUUUAUUCCUUCACUCAAAAAAAAAUGUGCCUUGCAGUUUGGCUGUAUAUGAACUUAGGUUCUAGGAGACAGAGUUGCCUUAAAACUGACUUCAAUGAUUUAGAUGAAAAAAAAAAACUACAUUUUUGCUCACAUUAACAGAGGGAGUUUUUUAUUCUGACAUUCAAUGUGGUUUGUUAAAUUAUAUUUAUUUUGGGACAAUCAUAUUGGGUGCUUUGUGUCCAGCAUUAAAAGUGGAGAAUAAUA